UACGUAGGGUGCGAGCGUUGUCCGGAUUUAUUGGGCGUAAAGAGCUCGUAGGUGGUUCGGUAAGUCGGAUGUGAAAUCUCCAGGCUCAACCUGGAGGGGUCAUUCGAUACUGCCGUGACUAGAGGUCGGUAGGGGAGUGUGGAAUUCCUGGUGGAGCGGUGAAAUGCGUAGAUAUGCGGAGGAACACCGAUGGCGAAGGCAAUCCCCGUCGGGCCUGCACUGACGCUCAUGCACGAAAGCGUGGGAGCAA
rnacentral:rRNA from 1 species